GGUCCCCCCCUGGCGUCGCUGUUCGGGCCCGGGGCCCGCGGGGGGGGAGGGCAGCGCCGAGACGGACAGACUGCCCUCAGAGUGGCUGAAGAAAGACUUUGAGCAUCUGUGGAGAUCGCCAACACCAGGGCCCAGACCAGGGGCCGAGCCGGUCCCAGUGGCUACAUUGGCUGCCCCGCCCCGCCCCACACACAGGAGUGUCCGGGCCCUGUGUUCGAGGCUCCCCGUGUCCGCGGGUGAGCUGGGGUUUUGAGCGGGGGGAGACGCUGGAGGUUCUGGGCUCCGUGGAUGACGUCUGGAUCCGCUGUUUGCCGCGGCGACGCUGAAGGCCUGGUGCCCAUCGAGUACACGUCACUCGUCUAGUCGCCCCUGGCUCCCCCCC